rnacentral:tRNA from 1 species
UCCCUGGUGGCUCAGUGGUAAAGAAUCUGCCUGCCCAUGCAGGAGACACGGGUUCAAUCCCUGAUCUGGGAA